UACGGAGGAUGCAAGCGUUAUCCGGAAUGAUUGGGCGUAAAGCGUCCGCAGGUGGCUGUGUAAGUCUGCUGUCAAAGAGCAAAGCUCAACUUUGUAAAGGCAGUGGAAACUACACGGCUAGAGUGCGUUCGGGGCAGAGGGAAUUCCUGGUGUAGCGGUGAAAUGCGUAGAGAUCAGGAAGAACACCGGUGGCGAAGGCGCUCUGCUAGGCCGCAACUGACACUGAGGGACGAAAGCUAGAGGAGCGAAUGGG
rnacentral:rRNA from 1 species